AUUCUGUGAUGAAGGUAUUUCUGUAAUAAUUUUUUGUACCUUUCCCAUGCCUCGUACAAGGACGCAUCAUCCAUUUGUUGGAAAGUAGUGAUCUUGUUCCUCAACUU
rnacentral:snoRNA from 1 species